AACGAACGCUGGCGGCAGGCUUAACACAUGCAAGUCGAACGGGUGUAGCAAUACACCAGUGGCAGACGGGUGAGUAACACGUGGGAACCUUCCUAGGGGUACGGAACAACUCAGGGAAACUUGAGCUAAUACCGUAUACGUCCGUAAGGAGAAAGAUUCAUCGCCCCUAGACGGGCCCGCGUCGGAUUAGUAGUUGGUGGGGUAACGGCCUACCAAGCCUACGAUCCGUAGCUGAUCUGGGAGGAUGANCAGCCACACUGGGACUGAGACACGGCCCAGACUCCUACGGGAGGGCAGCAGUGGGGAAGUCUUGGACAAUGGGCGCAAGCCUGAUCCAGCCAUGCCGCGUGAGUGAAGAAGGCCUUAGGGUUGUAAAGCUCUUUCGGCCGGGACGAAAUCGCACCUUUUAAUACCGGGUGUGGAUGACGGUACCGGAAGAAGAAGGACCGGCUAACUACGUGCCAGCAGCCGCUGU
rnacentral:rRNA from 1 species